CUCUCGGAUUCUCAUAUUUUUCAAAAAUCAACUAUUUUAUAUUCUUCUUUACCUUCUGUUUCCAUUCAUUCACGACAUCUUAGACAUACAUUAUUACAAUUGAUAUAAAGUCUACUGUGUUUCACAUACAAGUAGUGGAUAUGUUAAGAGACAAACUGGUGACCGUCCACUAAUUUGUUUACAUUUAAUAUUAUGAAUGACACCUGGUUGAUUUUGAAAGUAUGACACCUUGCAUAACAACCAUAUCAAACUCCGGCAGUGUGUUUUAUUUUGGUUUGUUCAUCUGCAUGGAUGGUAAAUCUAAUGAUGUAUCGCAAUCUUAAAAAGUAAAGCCUUCUACGUGCUGAAUUUUUUGAAGAGAUGCCGUGCGUAACACUACACACUGUAACAGGCCAUCUUUUAUGAAUGCCGCUGUCAACAUUUUUUUACUCAAUGGAUAUAAGGAUCUAUUCUGUAUGCAUUGCCUCACAAUACACUUUAUCAGCAUACAUUAAGGCAAUUAUAUUUCUAUUGGUUUUGAAAUUGCAAAAGCAAAAGAAAAAAAACAGAUUUUUGUACUUCUGAGAUGUAUGCUACAUCAAGUCGGAUUGAAUUUUAUGCGUCAUAUCUAGGCCAACAUACGAUUCCUUAUGUUGAAAUAGGUGUUUUCACAGCUAAUUUGUUUUUGGAGUCGUUUAAAUAACUGUCAAGUGUGUUCAUGCUUUCACCUUACUAGGCCCUAAUC